UGUGAGCAGGUAGCCAUGAUGGUCCC
rnacentral:piRNA from 1 species